GCAUAUCAAUAAGCGGAGGAAAAGAAACCAACCGGGAUUGCCUUAGUAACGGCGAGUGAAGCGGCAACAGCUCAAAUUUGAAAGCGGCCCUCCGGUCGCGUUGUAAUUUGCAGAGGAUGCGUCGGACGCAGCACGGCUCCAAGUCCCUUGGAACAGGACGCCACAGAGGGUGAGAGCCCCGUUGGAGUCGGAACGGUCCAUGUGAUGCUCCUUCGACGAGUCGAGUUGUUUGGGAAUGCAGCUCAAAAUGGGUGGUAAAUUUCAUCUAAAGCUAAAUACUGGCCAGAGACCGAUAGCGCACAAGUAGAGUGAUCGAAAGAUGAAAAGCACUUUGGAAAGAGAGUUAAACAGCACGUGAAAUUGUUGAAAGGGAAGCGCUGGCGACCAGACGUGCGGCGCGUGCUCACGGUGGUUUCGGCCGCCUGCACUCGCGCGUCGCAGGCCAGCAUCAGUUCCGGCGGUGGGAAAAAGGCUGUGGGUUGCCUCUCGGGGUCGCCCGCGGUGCCAUGCCGCCUGCUGGGACUGAGGACCGCGCUCUGCUCGGAUGCUGGCGUAAUGGUCGUCAGCGACCCGUCUUGAAACACGGACC
rnacentral:rRNA from 1 species